CAGCAAAGAAGCAUUUAACUCAGAAGGUAGAGAACUUGGAUGGGAAACUGGAUAAACAAAUGGAGAUAUCAAAAUCAAUUCAAAGCGAGGUGACUGAUGUUCGUGAUGAUCUUAACCAACUUGACUAUAACUUAGAUUCAUUGAGAGAGAUGGUUUCUGGCAUUGAUGGAAAGAUAAUGACUUUAGAAGAAAAGCAGGAAUUUGCUAGGCGUGGAGUGCAGUAUCUAAGCAAC